GGUAUUUUGACUAUACAAAGGUAUUGAAAUAAGACUUUAAUUGAGUGCUAAGAGAAUGGAAUAACAAAAAAUUUCUAUCUUAAAAUUAAAAAUUAAAAUUAUUUUUUUUUGUGAAGAAACAAAAAUUUUAAUUAAGGACAAGAAGACCCUAAGAAUUUUAAAAAUUAUUAGAUUAGUUUUUAAUUUAUUAUUAGUUUUUUAAUUGGGGCGAUUAAUAAAUAUUUAAAACUUUAUUAUUAUAUAAUAUGAACCAUUAAUAAUGGUUAUUUGAUAAAAAUACUCUAGGGAUAACAGCGUAAUAAUUUUUGAUAGUUCAUAUAGACAAAAUAGUUUGCGACCUCGAUGUUGGAUUAGGAUUCUUUUUUAAUGAAGAAGUUAAAAAAAGAAGUUUGUUCAACUUUUAAAUUCCU
rnacentral:rRNA from 1 species